GUUUGUGGAAACACCACGUAAAUUUAUUACUGCAAAGCUUUCGAUCCGUAAGCCCGGAUCUUCAUCAGUGCUAAUAAUAUCUUUGCAGUAAUAAAUUUACGUGGUGUUUCCACAAACAAAAACAA